UCCUCCUGGAGUUCGCGGGCGCCUGCGGGCCCGGGGCUCCCUUGCCUCUAACAGACUUAGCUUACGGACCCUUGCUUGCUUCCAGAACCCCUAGCAGGUCUCUCUGCAGCCGAAAGUCCUUAGCGUCCAGCGCUUGUUCAAAAGAACUGCUCGAGGAACCCUUCUUAGCCGUGGCACCUGUGUCCGCUCCGCGCUGCGCUCAGACCAGACCAAGAAACUGAGGUUUAGACAAGUAACUUGUGACAUAAGGUCACGCACCUUCCGACUUAGAGUUUCUGACUCCAAAGCCUAUGCUACCAUCGACUGCAGACCCCAAGUGAAGCCCAGCAGAGAGGGUCCUGAGAACCACCAGAAGGUGAAAAAACUGAAAAGAACUUCCUGGACAGAGGAAUGGGCACAAGCAACGGGCAUAAGGUCACGGAAGAGCAGUGAGCAAGUGGCUAUCAGUGAGUCACAGAAGCAUCCGAAUCAAAGUUUUCACCUGAAGGGACACUCAUGUCUAAUCAACGUAGGUUUACAUUUAGACCCAUACGUACACGUAACAAGCUUUUACUGAUACUGCGCUUGAUGUACUCAACUGUCCGCUAAUGCAGAAGGAGAAACAAAGUGAGCCAAAGGCACAAGAAAGAAAGAAAUGAAAGUAUUGGGUGAUAUUUGUGCACACAAAGAAAACAGAGACGGGCAGCUCAGGUGGCUCAGCGGUUUAGUGCCUGCCUUCGGCCCAGGGCCUGAUCCUGGAGACCUGGGAUCGAGUCCCCUGUCGGGCUCCCUGCAUGGAGCCUGCUUCUCCCUCUGCCUGUGUCUCUACCUCUCUCUGUGUCUCUCAUGAAUAAAUAAGUAAUAUCUUAAAAAAAAAAAAGAAAGAGAGAUAACAGAGACUUAAACUUCUCCAAGCUUAAUGUUGCAAACACUGUUGAUACUCAAGAGUCAUCUCCCCUUUCUCCUUCCUAACAGGACCCCAGGUUUUUGUUUGGUUUGGGUUUUAAUCUACUCUUUUCUGCACAGCCAUGGGCUCCAGGAGGGGCAGGAGCUCCAGCCCAAGCCUCAAGAAGUAGCAUGUGAUUGGUCCAACUGGUCAUGCUGCUUGCCUUCUUCUUAUCAGUAUUGCGGUUCCCCGGGGGCACAGGGCACCGUUCUGGCCCAUACGGGAGUGGGCCCAUGUGGGGUAGAUCUGCCAGGGGGUGCUGGGAAAGAUUUUACUCCAGAAGAGAGGCAGCCCUCUCUCUUACUGGGCAUCAUUUCGUCUGCCUGCAAUGCCAACCAUCGCAGGCACCAUCUUACAGCCAAUAAAGAGCUAAGCUGGUGCACAGGAGGGAUGACACGGGGUUCCUGAGCUGCCUGCCUGCAGACUUCUUGAUACGUGAUGGAACACACUACUCAUUUUUUUUAAGCCAGUUGAGUCCUUGCUCUCUGCCACUUGCCACUGAGAACAUCGUGACUGCUGCACACAGCCUGCAGAUUUAGGAUGAGGAUCUUCCUUCUUAAACUUGGCAAAUAGAAGUCUCUUGAGGAAAUUUAAGGACAAAAAUUUAUCCCCUUUCCCCCUCUCUCUAUUUAUUUAUUAUUAUUAUUCUAGAAUAACUGUUAUUCUUCCUUCAAAAGUAUUCGAGACCCACUCAGAUGUCAUUCCUGGGUGGCUGAAUUGUUUGUUAUUCCCACAACCCUUCCACCACUCCUCUAUGACAGCAUCUUACUCCUUCUCUUUCAACAAAUAGUUACAGAGUACGUGUUAUAGGUUCAGUCAUCUUCUGGGCCCAGGGGGUAGAGCAGGGAACUAGAGGCAUGGAGAUCCCAGUCCAGCAGGAAGACAGAAGAUGACCAAAAACAUUUAAAUAUGAUGACUCUUGUCAAAGGGGAAAAAAGAAUUCUUAUGGCAGCAUUUAAAAGAGGAGGUGCACCUGGGGGCUUGGUGGGUUAAGCGGCCAACUCUUGAUUUCAGCUCAGGUCAUGUUCUCAGGGUCAUGAGAUCAAGCCCUGCCACAGGCUCUGUGCUUGGUGUGGACCCUGCUUGAGAGUCUCUCUCUCCCUCUGCCCCGCCUCCCCCCACCUCUCUCUCUCCAAUAAAUAAAUACCUCUUAAAAAAUAAAAAUAAAAGAGGAGGAAACAACUACUUUGAAGUUUAUUUUAUCGCAUUGGGAUUAUCUGUUCAUGUAUCAGUUUUUCCCACUAGAGUGUGUGUUCUUGCAACCUCACAUCCCUCACCCCUUCCCGAGAGAUGGUUAUAUUCCAGAGGUGGCUGCAAAAACAUCUCCCAUUCCACAUGUUCUGCAAUGCAAACUUGCCAUUCCCUACCGGGGAGGGAAACAGGAGGUCUUACGUCCUCUGCUUUGCAUCUCAGUGAGCUUGUGAUGAUUUUGACCAAUAGAUUAUGUUGGGAGCGAUGCUAUAGAUCUUCCAAGAUUGAUGUCAUAAAAGGCCACGCAGCUUCCACCUGCUUCCCUUGGAGCCCUUGUUUCUUGAAAUGUUCCUUCUCUGGGGCACACCCUCCUGGGACCUAUAGGUGGAUGCCCCAGGUGACAGUCCCAGCGGAGUGAGCAUUCGAGUCAUCCCAGGCCAGGAGUCUGACAUAUGAAUAAAGGAGCUUCCUGAUAAUUCCAGCCCCCAGCCUCAACUCCUCCCCAGCCUCAACUCCUCAACUGUUCAAGUUUUUCCAUUUGAGGCCCCGGGUGUCAUGAAGCAGACCCAGGCCAUCCCUGCUGUGCUUUC